rnacentral:rRNA from 1 species
AUAAAUAAAUUAUUAAGCGUACAUGAUGGAUGCCUUGGCAGUCAGAGGCGAUGAAGGACGUGGUAGCCUGCGAUAAGCUGUGGGGAGUCGGCAACAGACUGUGAUCCACAGAUUUCCGAAUGGGGAAACCCACCUAGCAUAAGCUAGGUAUCGUUGCAUGAAUACAUAGUAUAUGAAGCGAACCGGGGGAACUGAAACAUCUAAGUACCCCGAGGAAAAGAAAUCAACCGAGAUUCCCUCAGUAGCGGCGAGCGAACGGGGAAGAGGCUAGUGAUUUAAAAAUAAGAAUUAGAAUACUCUGGAAAUGGUAACCAUAGAAGGUGAUAGUCCUGUAUAAAUAGAAAGUUUUUAAAUCCUGAGUAGGGCGGGACACGUGACAUCCUGUCUGAAUAUGGGGGGACCAUCCUCCAAGGCUAAAUACUCCUGACUGACCGAUAGUGAACCAGUACCGUGAGGGAAAGGCGAAAAGAACCCCGGGAGGGGAGUGAAAUAGAACCUGAAACCGUGUACGUACAAGCAGUGGGAGCCCUAUAUCUUUGUUAGGUGACUGCGUACCUUUUGUAUAAUGGGUCAGCGACUUAUAUUCUGUAGCGAGGUUAACCGUAUAGGGGAGCCGUAGGGAAACCGAGUCUUAACUGGGCGUUUAGUUGCAUGGUGUAGACCCGAAACCGGGUGAUCUAGCCAUGGGCAGGUUGAAGGUUGGGUAACACUAACUGGAGGACCGAACCGACUAAUGUUGAAAAAUUAGCGGAUGACCUGUGGCUGGGGGUGAAAGGCCAAUCAAACUCGGAGAUAGCUGGUUCUCCCCGAAAGCUAUUUAGGUAGCGCCUCGGACGAAUACUAUUGGGGGUAGAGCACUGUUUGGGCUAGGGGGUCAUCCCGACUUACCAACCCCAUGCAAACUCCGAAUACCAGUAAGUAAUAUCCGGGAGACACACGGCGGGUGCUAACGUCCGUCGUGAAGAGGGAAACAACCCAGACCGCCAGCUAAGGUCCCAAAGUUAUGGUUAAGUGGGAAACGAUGUGGGAAGGCUCAGACAGCUAGGAUGUUGGCUUAGAAGCAGCCAUCAUUUAAAGAAAGCGUAAUAGCUCACUAGUCGAGUGACUCUGCGCCGAAAAUGUACCGGGGCUAAAGCUGUAUACCGAAGAUGUGGGUGCUUAUUGAUUUCGAUUAGUAGGCGCGGUAGGGGAGCGUUCUGUAAGCCGUUGAAGGUGUCCUGUGAGGGGUGCUGGAGGUAUCAGAAGUGCGAAUGCUGACAUAAGUAACGAUAAAGCGGGUGAAAAGCCCGCUCGCCGGAAGACCAAGGGUUCCUGUCCAACGUUAAUCGGGGCAGGGUGAGUCGACCCCUAAGGCGAGGCCGAAAGGCGUAGUCGAUGGGAAACAGGUUAAUAUUCCUAAACCUCUUAAGUGUGACGGGUUUUGUAUUUGUAUAGGUCUUAUUGGAUUGAUCUAUGCUUAAAAGAAGCUCCAGGAAAUAGCACUUAUAUUUAUGAGGCCGUACCGCAAACCGACACAGGUGGGCGAGGAGAGAAUCCUAAGGUGUUGAGAGAACUCUGGUGAAGGAACUCGGCAAAAUAUACCCGUAACUUCGGGAGAAGGGUAACCUGCUUUUAGGCAACUAUGAGUAGGUGGCACAAAAUAGGGAGUAGCAACUGUUUAUUAAAAACACAGCACUCUGCAAACACGAAAGUGGACGUAUAGGGUGUGACGCCUGCCCGGUGCCGGAAGGUUAAUUGAUGGGGUUAGCGCAAGCAAGCUCUUGAUCGAAGCCCCGGUAAACGGCGGCCGUAACUAUAACGGUCCUAAGGUAGCGAAAUUCCUUGUCGGGUAAGUUCCGACCUGCACGAAUGGCGUAACGAUGGCCACGCUGUCUCCACCCGAGACUCAGUGAAAUUGAACUCGCUGUGAAGAUGCAGUGUACCCGCGGCAAGACGGAAAGACCCCGUGAACCUUUACUAUAGCUUGACACUGAACAUUGGUCCUUGAUGUGUAGGAUAGGUGGGAGGCUUUGAAGCGUGGACGCCAGUCUGCGUGGAGCCAUCCUUGAAAUACCACCCUUUACAACUUUGAGGUUCUAACUCAGGUCCGUUAUCCGGAUCGAGGACAGUGUCUGGUGGGUAGUUUGACUGGGGCGGUCUCCUCCCAAAGAGUAACGGAGGAGCACGAAGGUUGGCUAAUCCUGGUCGGACAUCAGGAGGUUAGUGCAAUGGCAUAAGCUAGCUUGACUGCGAGACUGACAGGUCGAGCAGGUACGAAAGUAGGUCAUAGUGAUCCGGUGGUUCUGAAUGGAAGGGCCAUCGCUCAACGGAUAAAAGGUACUCCGGGGAUAACAGGCUGAUACCGCCCAAGAGUUCAUAUCGACGGCGGUGUUUGGCACCUCGAUGUCGGCUCAUCACAUCCUGGGGCUGAAGUCGGUCCCAAGGGUAUGGCUGUUCGCCAUUUAAAGUGGUACGCGAGCUGGGUUCAGAACGUCGUGAGACAGUUCGGUCCCUAUCUGCCGUGGGCGUUGGAGAAUUGAGGGGAGCUGCUCCUAGUACGAGAGGACCGGAGUGGACGAACCUCUGGUGUUCCGGUUGUCAUGCCAAUGGCAUUGCCGGGUAGCUAUGUGCGGAAGGGAUAAGUGCUGAAAGCAUCUAAGCAUGAAGCCCCCCUCAAGAUGAGAUUUCCCAAUUAAGGCCGUGGGAGACUACCACGUUGAUAGGCUAAGUGUAGAAGCAUGGUAACAUGUGAAGCUAACUGGUACUAAUAGCCUGAUUGAUUUAUUUGCUUUC